AAAAGGGAACAGGUGAGGAGCCGGACUUAAAACUUGUUAAGAAUCAAACAUAAAAAAUUAUGUCAGACACAAUUACAUAUUCUUAGAUCUAGUUUAACUGCAACUAACAAUAUAGUUGUUACAUAUAUAUAUGCUUUGAAAGUGAUUAUCAUGGACACUGUAGUUGCAAUCCCAACAUUUAUUCCACUCUUCCCACAUUGUGCAUAGUACACCUAAGAAAUUGAGGUGAAAUUAACCUCACCUUUAUCUCCAAAGUUAGUCCAGUUAAGAUAACCCAAUCCCAACCUACGUUGUUCCCCUGGCCACAAGAUGUUGUUCAGGGUUGAGCAAAUUGGCACCAAUUACAGGACUUUAGCCCCAAAAUUGUGGGCUGUGGCUCCUUUCUCUCCCUUGAUAAAUGAGAAAGCAUGUGGUUCUUGUUACUGAGGGCAGUCAUCUUGUAACCAAGAAAAUAAAAAAGCUGGAACCCUGAUCAAAUAAGCAAAGAUUUAUAACUUUGUAUAUAAGAAGAAGGACAUAAACAGUAAACUGUGAAGGUUUUAAAUAAACACUUUUCUGCCUCCUUC
rnacentral:lncRNA from 10 species